AUGAGCAAAGGUGAAUCACAGGCCCCUUUUCUUGAUCCAACAACCAAACAAUUCCAUUUCAGCCUAAGUGACAAGAACGGUGCAUUUUGGGGCAAGGCUAGGGUUCAAAUUAUUGAGACUCUUCAACUUCUUCGUGAAAAAUCUCUUCUCCCUCGCUUCUCCCUCAACCGCGGCGACUCAACCUUUAUCACGAUCUCUCUAUUUUCCUUACUCCGCUGCCGUCUCUCACUAAAUUUGUAUAAGCUCAGAAAUGAUGCAAUGGUGAUGUGA